rnacentral:lncRNA from 1 species
AAAGUUCUCUUGUGUUCACUUCCAGUGCCACCUAGGGAUGGAGAUAUUUUGACUUCUGCUGAGAUAAGCUAGUUUUUGCCUGUAUUUGGGAAGGGUUCGAGAUCUAUCCGUGUUGUUGCAUGUGGGAAGGUGGCGGAAUAGGAGGACCCAAAGCUCACCUCGUCCCAUGGAUACAAAUAGAUAACACUCACAUCAGCAUAAAUAACUCAGAAAAUGACCCAAAGACUGACAGAACAAAUUCCACAACUAAAGACAAAGGAGAGGCCACACUGAAGAAGGUAGGAGGGGUGAAUAUGAGGUUUGGAAGGAAAACAGACUGUGGAUGUCCCUGGCGGGGAGGGCUAUGGGGGGGGGCG